CCUACGGGAGGCAACAGUGAGGAAUAUUGGUCAAUGGGCGCGAGCCUGAACCAGCCAAGUCGCGUGAGGGAAGACGGUCCUAUGGAUUGUAAACCUCUUUUGUCGGGGAGCAAAAGACGCCACGCGUGGCGUUCCGAGAGUACCCGAAGAAAAAGCAUCGGCUAACUCCGUGCCAGCAGCCGCGGUAAUACGGAGGAUGCGAGCGUUAUCCGGAUUUAUUGGGUUUAAAGGGUGCACAGGCGGAAGAUCAAGUCAGCGGUAAAAUUGAGAGGCUCAACCUCUUCGAGCCGUUGAAACUGGUUGUCUUGAGUGAGCGAGAAGUAUGCGGAAUGCGUGGUGUAGCGGUGAAAUGCAUAGAUAUCACGCAGAACUCCGAUUGCGAAGGCAGCAUACCGGCGCUCAACUGACGCUCAUGCACGAAAGUGUGGGUAUCGAACAGGAUUAGAUACCCUAGUAGUC
rnacentral:rRNA from 1 species